GAGUGUUGAUACGGAAGGUUGCCGAUAGCCGAAAUGAGCGGCUAGAGGGUUUUUCCGAGGAGCGAUGUCCAGUUCAAGAAACCGGGCGACAA
rnacentral:ncRNA from 1 species